AUCCAGCUGACGAGCCCGAAAUGGGACGAAAUCCGCGUCCUGGAU
rfam:Schistosoma mattheei strain Denwood, Zambia genome assembly, scaffold: SMTD_scaffold0002923